GCACCCUCUCUCUCUCUCUAAAGUCGAAGGGCAGUAAUUGCUGGUGCCAACGUCCUUGAAAAUGGCAGAAGUUGGUGCCGAUGCAGAGGAGGAGAAGCCCAAUUUCAUCAGAGAAGAAAACCAGCAUUCUUUUCAAUCCCACCAAAAACCAGAGGAGGAGAUUCCAUGGAUUGAAUACGCAGUCCAGGAAGCUGAAUCCAUUAAGAAAACGUUAAUGGAGGCCACCGACUCGGCCCUUGAAGCUACUAGGUCUCGGCUCUUCGAUAUCCAUGCCACCUCUUCAGCUCAUUUCUAUCAAGCAAAGGAAGCUCUUUUGGAUGUCAAGACCAAGUACAGCGAAUAUGAAGAUUCCAUGUUCGGGAAAGUUAAGGAGGGGUUGCUUAUUGCUGCAUCUCAUCCAUCCCUUGCAUGUGGGGUGGCCGUUGGAUCGGGAGUUCUCAUUAUGAAAAGACCGAGGCGUUACUUGUUUAAUAGUGUGCAACGACUUUUUGUGAGUGAAGAGUCCAUGCUUGCAAGUGCAGAAGCCAAGGUGAAAGAAUUGCGACAAUCGAUUGAGUUGGUGAAGAAUGAAAGCAAGAAAUUAGAGGAGAGAGCUAGACUAGCAGAAGAAGAAAUGAGACGGGGCCAAACAAAGCUUAGACAUGCAGGACAUCAGAUUCAAACUGCUAUUCAUUCAGCUUAUAAGAUUGAAAAGCAAGCAAGAGGCCUAAAAGAUAUUCUCGGGGAGCUUCCUAGAAGAGAAGCAUCUCGGUUUCGAUCACAGUUUGUUCUGUUUGCAGGUAUCGAAGAUGGCUUCUGAGGCUAAGCGCGAAAGAGAUGCUUUAGGUAAAGAGGUGACCAAAAUUACUAAUUACGGGAUUCCCAUUUGAUGCUCGGCUGUUUGCAUUGCCAAUAAUAAUUGUUAUUUGAGAUUCAUUACUGUGAUCCAUGGCCACUGUGAUAAAUGUUAGCACCCUCCAAUCAAUGGAUAGAUGGUGAUUGAGAGGAGAGCUCUCAAUGCAGAGGGAGGGGGGAGAGGGGGAGAAUUGAAUAUUGCACGACAGUGGUCCUAUUUCUCUCAAAGCAAAAAUGGACCACUGGGUCAUUAUCUCUUCCCCGACAAAAGAAUUAUUCCCAAACCAUAAUGUACUUCCACUUCUCUCCAUUUUCAAACGGAAACGGUUUCUAUGAGCCCCGGACUCAUAUGUA